rnacentral:rRNA from 1 species
GAUUAACGCUAGCGGCAGGCCUAAUACAUGCAAGUCGAACGGCAGCACGGGUAGCAAUACCUGGUGGCGAGUGGCGCACGGGUGCGUAACGCGUAUGCAAUCUACCUAUAACUGGGGAAUAGCCUUCCGAAAGGAAGAUUAAAACCGCAUAAUAUCACGAAGCGGCAUCGUUUUGUGAUCAAAUCUCCGGAGGUUAUAGAUGAGCAUGCGUGACAUAGCUAGUUGGUGAGGUAACGGCUCACCAAGGCUACGAUGUCUAGGGGGUCUGAGAGGAUGACUCCCC